GGGGUGGAGAGGAGCGACCACUCGCCCCUCAGACAAUGGGAACCUAUUCCAGGUCACCCUUGGCCUUACCCUGAGGGGCUUGGGGUGGUCAGCAUUCUAGGUUCUUUAUACGCUGUGGCACUGGGAUUUGGGGGUGCAUUCCUCGGCUCAGCCCAUGUCUGGGGGCCCCCAAAUGAGGCUUACCAGUCAAAAUCCUUUCCCCCUGGAAGAGCCCUUGCUGGGCUCACAUAUUCCCCAAGACGAAGUUCCGUUCAUUCUCUGAGGUCCCCUCCCCACAGAUGAGCUUGACCUUAUGCUGGGAGGGAGCAGUGGGUGCAGAGCGGAGGCAGCAGCCGCUUCGGGGACAGGCCGAAUAUUUUAUGAGUAAUUUAAUAUCUGGAGCAAGAACCAGAGCGGAGAACCCUUCAGCUGCCUGGAGCAAAAAGCUGGUCUGGUCCUCAUAAUACAGCGGCAAGCACUGGGGGGCUGCCGGGGACCGAUCAGGGCCAAUGGGAAGUUAACCCUUUGAGGCUCCUGGGAGGGGCAGGGCUGUGGGCCUGCCGUGCGGGUACUGGACAGAGAGCUGGGGAUGCUUGGAGGCCUGAGCACCUCACACUUGGGAGGGUAAGGUGGCCAAUAGGAAAGGCCCUGGCUUUGAGACCUGGGGACCUGAGCUUGGCUCUUACUAAGUAACUCCAUCUCUGUGAGCCUCAGUUUCCUUAUCUGUAAGAUGGGGGUAACCAUGGAUGCAAUGCCUGUCAGGUAGUUCCAGGGACAAGCAGGUGCUUAUUAAGAGACCUACCCUAGGGCGUGACUGAUGCCAUGUGAGCCCUUGGCAGCCCUUCAACGUCCCCAGACGUCCUUCUUGGGUGUCUCCUGGGCCCCAGCUGUGUCCUGGACCUUCUGUGCCAGCUUGGGAGUUGGAGCCCAAUGGGCUUUCCUCCCACUCCACACCAGCCAGAGCUGUUUCCUUCUGAUGCUCACUCUCGCCCCACUCCAGGUUUCUGGGGAGGGUGCUGUCUGUCCAGGCGGCCUGGAAGGGGCUGGCCCUGAGCAGGUUCCCAGCUCAGCCUUGUGCCGGGGGCAGGCACUUUUUCUCUGGGCCUUCCUCUCCUAUGCUGUGAGAGGGCUUGGGCUGGAGUACGGGGAGCUCACUGCCCGAUCUGCGCUUCUCCUUCAGCCUCCCAGAGGAUGCCAACAACAGCCGGGGCCUCUCCUACCUGGGGAUUCUGCCCUUUGCUAA
rnacentral:lncRNA from 1 species